rnacentral:rRNA from 1 species
GUCUACAGCUAUGCCACCCUGAAAUGCGCCAUGUCUUGUCUGAUCUUGGAAGCUAAACAGGGUCAGGCCUGGUUAAUACUUGGAUGAGAGAGCAAAAUAACCAUGACAAAAUGACCCUGUGACA